rnacentral:rRNA from 1 species
GACGAACGCUGGCGGCGUGCCUAAUACAUGCCAGUUGAGCGCUGAAGGUUGGUACUUGUACCGACUGGAUGAGCAGCGAACGGGUGAGUAACGCGUGGGGAAUCUGCCUUUGAGCGGGGGACAACAUUUGGAAACGAAAGCUAAUACCGCAUAAAAACUUUAAACACAAGUUUUAAGUUUGAAAGAUGCAAUUGCAUCACUCAAAGAUGAUCCCGCGUUGUAUUAGCUAGUUGGUGAGGUAAAGGCUCACCAAGGCGAUGAUACGUAGCCGACCUGAGAGGGUGAUCGGCCACAUUGGGACUGAGACACGGCCCAAACUCCUACGGGAGGCAGCAGUAGGGAAUCUUCGGCAAUGGACGAAAGUCUGACCGAGCAACGCCGCGUGAGUGAAGAAGGUUUUCGGAUCGUAAAACUCUGUUGGUAGAGAAGAACGUUGGUGAGAGUGGAAAGCUCAUCAAGUGACGGUAACUACCCAGAAAGGGACGGCUAACUACGUG